GUUCAGUUCUAGUUCUAGUUCUUGGAACUAGAACUAGGAAAAAAAUAGGUGUACUAAAAUAGAUUUAGUUCUAGUUCCGUUGGAACUAGCACAACACUAAUUCCAUUGUUAGGUUAAUGACAAUAAGAGGAUAAGUACAAUUCUCUGCUAUUGAAGACUACAUUGAGAAGUUGUUGGUUAAAUUUGAAGCUGUACUUACAUUAAGAAGAUUAUGAAGAUGUGAAGAAUUACUUUUUUAGUAUUGUUUUUGUUCUAUGUAACAAUUUCUUUGUUUAUAACUAUUUCAGCAUUUUUCUUCUUGUUCAAUACACAAUUUCUUCUUUAUCAAUCAUUGAUUAUGAA